AAUCUCACCAUGUUGCCCAGGCUGGUCUCCAACUCCUGGCCUCAAGCAAUCCUCCCACCUCACGCUCCCAAAAUGCUAGGAUUACAGGCCUGAGCCACCAUACCUGGCCUGAUCCCAGUUUUAGAAAAACCCUGUAUCUAAGUGUACGGAUAUGUUGGGUAAUCACUAUCAAAUUUUGGAAACUUUGCUUUUUUAUAUAAUCAGAAGGAUUCCAUAAAUGUACUUUGACUUGAAAUAAUAUUUUCUUGAAGCCAGAUAUACAUAGCUGUGACCUGGACUAGUUCAUCUCAUCACCUCCCCUCCCCACACCCUGCAGGUCCUGAGGUCAGUGGCCUUCCUGCCUGAGUCUUGGCUGCCUAUGCUGCUGGCCAUGGGUGAGAGGACAGCCUGCCCAAUGAAUUAAAAACAGAACCCAGCCCUCCAGAGGUGAGUCACACCCUCUCAACCUCUCUCCACCCCCUCGUUGUUUCCCCUAUCUGAUCUGCCCCUCCUUCUCUCUCCUUCAGAAUGUUUUCUAUGUGCAGUGUUUUCUCACCUUAGAUUGCUCUCUCCUUCUUUCAGCCUUCUAAUCAUCUUGUCCAUUCUUUCUGUUUCUCACUCAUAUUUGUCUCUUGUCAUCACUCUCCUCUCCUCUCUCCUCUGUCUCUCUCCCCUUUCCCUCUCUUUUCUUUUCUCCUCUCCUCUCCCCCACCCUCAUUCAUCCUGUGGAGUCUGAAGCCGUCACACCACAGAUUUUCCAUGUGAGCAGAAAAUGGAGACACACGAACAACACACCUCUUCACAGAUUCCAUGGAUGGGCCACAGAGGUAAUGGUAAGCUGCAGAACACCGAGUCCCCUUCUCACCACGCCUCCUCAACUGGGGCUGUGGGGCCUGCAGGUGGUUCCUCUGUCCCAGGUGCCUUUCCAGAAAGACACAAGGGGAUAAGAGAUUUUCUUCAUUCAUGGUUUUAAGGAAACCGAUAUCCAUAUGCAACAGAAUGAAAUAGGACCCUUCUGUUACACAACAAAAAAUCAACUCCAAAUGGGCUUAAAACCUCAAUACGGCUGGGCACGGUGGCUCACGCCUGUAAUCUCAGCACUUUGGGAGGCCAAGGCAGGCAGGUCACGAGGUCAGGAAUUCAAGACCAACCUGGCCAAUAUGGCGAAACCCGGUCUCUACUAAAACUACAAAAAUUAGCCAGGUGUGGUGGUGUGCACCUGUAGUCCCAGCUACACCGGAGGCUGAGGCAGCAGAAUCACUUGAACCUGGGAGGCAGAAAUUGCAGUGAACUGAGAUUGUGCCACUGCACUCCAGCCUGGCCAACAGAGCAAGACUCAGUCUCAAAAAAAUAAAAACCCUCAACACAAGACCUGAAACCAUGAAUCAUCGUAAAACUGUAAGAAACUACAGGGGGAGCUUACUUCCAGGACAACUUGAAUCCAAGCUCACAGGGUGGAAAGGAGAGAGAGAGAGAGAGAGAGAGGAGAGAGAGAGAGAGAGAGGAGAGAGAGAGAGAGAGAGGAGAGAGAGAGACAGAGGAGAGGAGAGAGACAGAGGGGGGAGGGCAGAGAAGAGAAGAGAAAGUAAAACAGGGUAAGAUCUCAUUUUAAAACUGGGCACCAAAAUCAUAAGCA
rnacentral:lncRNA from 1 species